AUGCUUUCUGUCUGCUUUUAUGUUUGUGUUUUGUUGUGUGGCUGUUAUUUGCAAGAAAUGGCUUCGUGUGCCAUUUUCUCAAACCCAGCAAAUACCGUCAAGAUCUUGAAGAGAAGAAGUCCGUACAGUGGUCUGUUUGGUUGGAACUCCGGCGAGAAACUAGACAAUCUCCGACCGCCACAGAAAGUGGUCUACCAUGACGACGUCCAACUUCCUUUCUCUCUUUCGUUGGUAAACAAGACCUUCCUAAAGGGAAGAGAACUAAAAUGUUGCUACAAAGCAAGCAUCGAUGGGUUUAGUGCAACAAAGUUCCACGAACGUUGUGAUUUCCAAGGUCCAUGUGUUAUUAUAGCCUACACCAGAGACAUGUCUUUCAAGUUUGGCGGAUUUAGCCCUGAAGGCUAUCGAAGCACUGAUGAUUAUUACGAUACAUUGGACGCUUUCCUCUUCUAUUGGCUAGACGAUAGCGAUGAACCAAUCGUACUUUCUAAGGUUGGAGGAAGUGGGGCGGCGCUGUUUGAUUAUGCACGCGGAGGGCCUCAGUUUGGAGCUGACGGGCUUCUUAUUGGACCUCCUUUAGCUCCUGUGAUGGGCGGGUUUGCGGGUCCGGAUACGAACUCAGGGAUUGGUGAUUUGAGGAUGGCUAAAUCAAGACUGGGUUUGUCAUAUGCUAAGAGGAAAGAUGGGAAGGAAUCUAUCUUUGGAGAUGAAAUUGCACUAUCGGUCUCCUCUGCGUUUCUUCGACUCCUCGAAGUGUGUUGCAAAGAGAAACUCAUCUCCGCUUGUGAAAUUGGUUGUGAGAAGAGUUCGUAAAUGUGACCGGCGUGAACGACCAGAGCCUCAUCUCCUUCAUAUCGCGAUUAGGUUAAGAUCUGUUGCAAUAUUGUUCUUAAAGCUGAAUUUUAUAUACGAUGGACUCUGGUUGGGUUGCAAGUUCCAUGGCGUUCUGAAAAAAGGAGUCAUCCGCGGAUUGCAUCUUUCCCAUCAAAGCUUGCAUGUGACUAAAACUUAACACCAAAGAUUCGUCAGGGUAAUGCCCGAUCCCUUUUUCUUUAUAGAGACCCAAACCGUUUUGUGUCGGAGGAUUCUGGUCAAAGAACUCUCUAACGAAUGCUUCACCAUGUUUUGCCAUUAUGGCCAUUCGACUCCAAUAGAAACACUGCAAACUAAUUAAUUUUUUUUUUGUAUACAUAACUACUUACAACUUUUUAGCAAACAUUGAAACUUGUUACAGUAUUACAUCACAAUCUGAUAUUUUACAAGAUUUUAUUUCAUCUUA